rnacentral:rRNA from 1 species
ACGGCUCAGUAACACGUGGAUAACCUGCCCUUGGGUCCGGCAUAACCCCGGGAAACUGGGGAUAAUUCCGGAUAACGCACAUAUGCUGGAAUGCUUUAUGCGUAAAAUGGAUUCGUCUGCCCAAGGAUGGGUCUGCGGCCUAUCAGGUAGUAGUGGGUGUAAUGUACCUACUAGCCGACGACGGGUACGGGUUGUGAGAGCAAGAGCCCGGAGAUGGAUUCUGAGACAUGAAUCCAGGCCCUACGGGGCGCAGCAGGCGCGAAAACUUUACAAUGCGGGAAACCGUGAUAAGGGGACACCGAGUGCCAGCAUCAUAUGCUGGCUGUCCGGGUGUGUAAAAUACACCUGUUAGCAAGGGCCGGGCAAGACCGGUGCCAGCCGCCGCGGUAACACCGGCGGCCCGAGUGGUGAUCGUGAUUAUUGGGUCUAAAGGGUCCGUAGCCGGUUUGGUCAGUCCUCCGGGAAAUCUGAUAGCUCAACUAUUAGGCUUUCGGGGGAUACUGCCAGACUUGGAACCGGGAGAGGUAAGAGGUACUACAGGGGUAGGAGUGAAAUCUUGUAAUCCCUGUGGGACCACCUGUGGCGAAGGCGUCUUACCAGAACGGGUUCGACGGUGAGGGACGAAAGCUGGGGGCACGAACCGGAUUAGAUACCCGGGUAGUCCCAGCCGUAAACGAUGCUCGCUAGGUGUCAGACAUGGCGCGACCGUGUCUGGUGCCGCAGGGAAGCCGUGAAGCGAGCCACCUGGGAAGUACGGCCGCAAGGCUGAAACUUAAAGGAAUUGGCGGGGGAGCAC